rnacentral:rRNA from 1 species
GACGGAAGGUGCAAGCGUUGCUCGGAAUCACUGGGCGUAAAGGGUGCGUAGGCGGCCGUGCAAGUCUGGCGUGAAAGCCCCGGGCUCAGCCCGGGAAGUGCGCUCGAAACUGCAGUGGCUCGAGUGCCGGAGGGGAGAGUGGAAUUCCUGGUGUAGCGGUGAAAUGCGUAGAUAUCAGGAGGAAUACCGGUGGCGAAAGCGACUCUCUGGACGGCAACUGACGCUGAGGCACGAAAGCGUGGGGAGCAAACAGG